UCCGGGUGCAAUGGCACAUGUCUGUAGUCCCAGCUACUCGGGGGGCUGAGGCUGGAGGAUCGCUUGAGCCAGGAGUUCUGGGCUGUAGUGCGCUAUGCCAAUUGGGUGUCCGCACUAAGUUUGGCAUCAGUAUGGUGACCUCCCGGAAGCGGGGGACCAUCAGGUUGCCUAAGGAGGGGUGAACCAGCCCAGAUAGGAAACAGAGCAGGUCAAAACUCCCGUGCUGAUCAGUAAUGGGAUUGCACCUGUAAAUAGCCACUGCACUCCAGCCUGGGCAACAUAGCGAGACCCUGUCUCUU
ensembl:misc_RNA Metazoa_SRP Metazoan signal recognition particle RNA